ACGGGGCGCAGCAGGCGCGAAAACUCCGCAAUGCGCGAAAGCGUGACGGGGGAACCCCAAGUGCCGUUGGUCUUUUGACUGACGGCUUUUCGGGAGUCUAAGAAGCUCCCGGAAUAAGGGCUGGGCAAGACUGGUGCCAGCCGCCGCGGUAACACCAGCAGCCCAAGUGGUGGUCGCGUUUAUUGGGCCUAAAGCGCUCGUAGCCGGGCUUGCAAGUCCCUUGUGAAAUCGGACGGCUCAACCGUUCGGCGUGCAAGGGAUACUGCUAGCCUUGGGAUCGGGAGAGGUCGGGGGUACUCUGGGGGUAGCGGUGAAAUGCUGUAAUCCCUGGGGGGCCACCAGUGGCGAAGGCGCCCGACCAUAACGGAUCCGACGGUGAGGGGCGAAAGCUAGGGGGGCGAACGGGAUUAGAUACCCCGGUAGUCCUAGCAGUAAAGGAUGCGGGCUGGGUGUCAGGCGCCCUUCGAGAGCGCCUAGUGCCGUAGGGAAGCCGUUAAGCCCGCCGCCUGGGAAGUACGGUCGCAAGGCUGAAACUUAAAGAAAUUGGCGGGGGAGCACUACAAGGGGUGGGACCUGCGGUUUAAUUGGAUUCAACGCCGGA
rnacentral:rRNA from 1 species